rnacentral:rRNA from 1 species
CUACGGGGCGCUGCAGUAGGGAAUAUUGGACAAUGGGCGAAAGCCUGAUCCAGCAACACCGCGUGCACGAUGACGGCCUUCGGGUUGUAAAGUGCUUUUAGAGGAGAUGAGAAAGGACAGUAUCCUCUGAAUAAGCCUCGGCGAACUACGUGCCAGCAGCCGCGGUAAAACGUAGGAGGCAAGCGUUAUCCGGAUUUAUUGGGCGUAAAGCGCGUGCAGGCGGUCUAGCAAGUUGGAUGUGAAAGCUCCCGGCUCAACUGGGAGAGGUCGUUCAAUACUGUUAGACUAGAGAAUAGGAGAAGGAGGUGGAAUUCCGGGUGUAGUGGUGAAAUGCGUAGAUAUCCGGAGGAACACCAGCGGCGAAAGCGGCCUCCUGGACUAUUUCUGACGCUAAGACGCGAAAGCUAGGGUAGCAAACGGGAUUAGAUACCCCAGUAGUC